GCUGCCCAAGAUCCUCAUGGCAGUGAGACUGUUAGUUGUGAAGCACAAAUAGGGCGACUAUACUUCAGCUGAGACAUCCUCCAUGCCGGUGCGAGUUUUGAUUUCUCGGGAUAGUAUAAAGGAGGCAAAACAAUGUAAAGGAAACAGAAUGCCAGAGCAGAAGUCCAGUUCUGCCUCACACUGUCACCCACCUUAGGCUGCCUGUGCCGUGUGGUGCCACCCUACUCCCCCAAAACACACUGCCUCCUAAUCUGCCCUGGAUAUCCAGGGAAGGAUGAAAGAAAGGAAACGUAGUGACAGCUGACCAUUUAGUAGAAAUGAGUCUUGCUUUUGUAUAACUAGGAAAGGCUGUAUUUUUAACUUUCCAUUUCUCCUUAUUCUAUCUACCAGGAAACCCUGACUACAAAUCAAAGAAGUGCUACAAAGAGGAGCCUCAAGCACUAACUGGCAGCCAUUUGGAGAUGACAGGACAAAGGCUGGAUCUGUCCUGCAGUAAACUGUCAGUGGAUUCUGUGUCCUCGAACACUUGGUACAGCUGGACCUGAGUAAAACCACCUGCAACAGAGGCUGACAGACACUGGCCAUCUGGUCAGCCUCCAGCACCUGGGUGUCCUCAACAGACUGGUCCAUCCUGCCUGCCACUUUGUUCAGCCCAAGAAACCCAGGCUCUGGGGCUCCGACAGGCAGGGGGAAGGCAGCUGAGGAGCCACAGAUUUGUCUAGUGUCUAGGGCAGACACGCCUGCACCCUGCAACACGGCCACCUCACUGAGCUUUGAAUGUCAAGCUAGCCUUGUAGUUGUGGUUAUUCUGCUCAAAUAUAACACGUCAAAGUUCCGAUAUAUUACUAGACUCAAUCUGCUAAUGUUGUGCUGAGAAUCUCUACUUCUAUUGCUAUAUUAAGAAGAAUACUAGCUUGUAACUUCCUUUUCUUGUCGCAUCCAUGUCAGGUUUUGGUAUCAGGGUUAUGCUGGCCUCAUCAAAUGAGGUGAUAAGGGUUUCAUUUUCUACACUUUUUUGUUUUUUUGUGGCCAUGCUGAACAGCUUGCAGUGAAAGCACCAAGUCCUAACCACUGGACUGCCAGGGAGCUCCCCCAAACUGGCAUUUCUUUAGCAUUAUACAGAACCGGGCCUGAGGAAUUUUUGUGGGGUAGAUUUUAAUUACAGAUUCAAUUAAUGUAACAGACACAGGAUUAUUCCAUUUUUCUGUGUCAGCUUAGAAAGCUGUGUUACUGAAAGGACUUGUUGAUUUCUUCUACGCCGUCAAAAUUGUUCAGAAUAGCUUUCUGAUCUUGUCUUUGCUAUUUCCCUUCUACUUGUAUUUAAUUUGCUGGUUUUCUACUUUCUUCAGAUGGAAGCUUAUUUAUCUUUUUGUUAUCAAUUUCUAGUUUAAUUCUUUCACGGUCAGCAACCAGCUGUAUUUCAAUCCUUUGUAAUUUGUUGAGUCUUGCUUCAUGGACCAGUAAUAUGGUCUAUUCUGGUGAAUGUUCCUUAUGCAUUUGAAAAGCAUAUUAGAAGUAGCACGAUAGGGACCGUCCCUGGGGGCACAGUGGUUAAGAAUCCACUUGCUAAAGCAGGGGACACGGGUUCGAGCCCUGGUCUGGGAAGAUCCCACAUGCUGUGGAGCAACUAAGCCCAUGUGCCACAACUACUGAGCCCGCAUGCCUAGAGCCUGUGAGCCACAACUACUGAGCCCACAUGCCUAGAGCCCAUGCUCUGCAACAAGUGAAGCCACCUCAAUGAGAAGCCCGCACACCACAACAAAGAACAGCCCCCACGUGCAGCAACGAAGACCCAACACAGCUAAAAAUAGAUAGAUAAAUAAAUAAAAAUAAAUUAAAAAAAAAA